rnacentral:rRNA from 1 species
GACGAACGCUGGCGGCGUGCUUAACACAUGCAAGUCGAACGGAAAGGCCCUGCUUUUGUGGGGUGCUCGAGUGGCGAACGGGUGAGUAACACGUGAGUAACCUGCCCUUGACUUUGGGAUAACUUCAGGAAACUGGGGCUAAUACCGGAUAGGAGCUCCUGCUGCAUGGUGGGGGUUGGAAAGUUUCGGCGGUUGGGGAUGGACUCGCGGGUUAUCAGCUUGUUGGUGGGGUAGUGGCUUACCAAGGCUUUGACGGGUAGCCGGCCUGAGAGGGUGACCGGCCACAUGGGGACUGAGAUACGGCCCAGACUCCGACGGGAGGCAGCAGUGGGGAAUAUUGCACAAUGGGCGGAAGCCUGAUGCAGCAACGCCGCGUGCGGGAUGACGGCCUUCGGGUUGUAGACCGCUUUCGCCUGUGACGAAGCGUGAGUGACGGUAAUGGGUAAAGAAGCACCGGCUAACUACGUG